CACGUAGGGUGCGAGCGUUGUCCGGAAUUAUUGGGCGUAAAGAGCUCGUAGGCGGUGUGUCGCGUCGGCCGUGAAAACCUGCAGCUUAACUGUGGGCUUGCGGUCGAUACGGGCAUCACUGGAGUUCGGCAGGGGAGACUGGAAUUCCUGGUGUAGCGGUGAAAUGCGCAGAUAUCAGGAGGAACACCGAUGGCGAAGGCAGGUCUCUGGGCCGAUACUGACGCUGAGGAGCGAAAGCGUGGGGAGCGAACAGG
rnacentral:rRNA from 1 species